rnacentral:rRNA from 1 species
GACGAACGCUGGCGGCGUGCUUAACACAUGCAAGUCGUACGGUAAGGCCCUUUCGGGGGUCCACGAGUGGCGAACGGGUGAGUAACACGUGAGUAACCUGCCCACAACUUUGGGAUAACGCUAGGAAACUGGUGCUAAUACUGGAUAUGUGCUCCUGCUGCAUGGUGGGGGUUGGAAAGCUCCGGCGGUUGUGGAUGGACUCGCGGCCUAUCAGCUUGUUGGUGGGGUAGUGGCCUACCAAGGCGGCGACGGGUAGCCGGCCUGAGGGGGUGACCGGCCACAUUGGGACUGAGAUACGGCCCAGACUCCGACGGGAGGCAGCAGUGGGGAAUAUUGCACAAUGGGCGCAAGCCUGAUGCAGCAACGCCGCGUGCGGGAUAACGGCCUUCGGGUUGUAAACCGCUUUCAGCAGGGACGAAGCUUUUUGUGACGGUACCUGCAGAAGAAGCACCGGCUAACUACGUG